AUGGUCUGGAGCUGGGUCAUUUUCUUCCUGGUGGCAGCAGCCAGAGGUGUCCAUUCCCAAGUUCAGUUCCAUCAAUCUGGGGCUGAGCUGAAGAAGCCUGGGGCUUCUGUGAAGGUGUCCUGCAAGGCCUCUGGCUUUACCAUUACCGAAUACUAUAUACACUGGAUGAAGCAGAAGCCUGGAAAGGGGCUGGAAUGGAUUGGAGCUAUUGAUCCUGAAGAUGGGGAUACAGAUUAUGAUCAGAAGUUCCAGGGCAAGGCCACAUUGACUGCGGACCCAUCCACAACUUUCCUGGAGCUGAGAAGUCUGACAACAGAGGACUCAGCUACAUAUUACUGUGCAAGACACAUUUAUCAUAAUUAUAGCAUUAAUUUCUAUGGGCAGGUAUCCAAUAUUACAGUAUUUAGAUUUUGA